UACAGAGGGUGCAAGCGUUGUUCGGAAUUAUUGGGCGUAAAGCGCGUGUAGGCGGCUUUGCAAGUCGGGUGUGAAAGCCCACAGCUUAACUGUGGAAGUGCGCUCGAAACUGCAGAGCUUGAGUACCGGAGAGGAUGGCGGAAUUCCCCAAGUAGAGGUGAAAUUCGUAGAUAUGGGGAGGAACACCGGUGGCGAAGGCGGCAUCCUGGACCGAGAUUGACGCUGAGGCGCGAAAGCCAGGGGAGCAAACGGG
rnacentral:rRNA from 1 species